CAACGAAUCUUCCCCAAUGGGCGAAAGCCUGAGGGAGCGACGCCGCGUGUAGGAUGAAGUUCUUCGGAAUGUAAACUACUGUCAGGGUUAUGAAAGCAAUGGGGUACAAUAUGCCCCAAAGUUGAUCUGACCCAGAGGAAGGGACGGCUAACUCUGUGCCAGCAGCCGCGGUAAUACAGAGGUCCCGAGCGUUACUGAGAAUCACUGGGCUUAAAGGGUGCGUAGGUGGCGAGCUAAGUCUGUUGUGAAAUCCCCGGGCUCAACCCGGGAACUGCUUCAGAUACUGGUUUGCUUGAGGUCGGUAUGGGUCGCUGGAACUGACGGUGGAGCGGUGAAAUGCAUAGAUAUCGUCAGGAACGCCAGUGGUGAAGACGGGCGACUAGGCCGAUUCUGACACUGAGGCACGAAAGCGUGGGUAGCGAACGGG
rnacentral:rRNA from 1 species